rnacentral:rRNA from 1 species
UACAGAGGUCCCAAGCGUUGUUCGGAUUCACUGGGCGUAAAGGGUGCGUAGGUGGUGAGGUAAGUCGGAUGUGAAAGCUCGGAGCUCAACUCCGAAAUGGCAUUGGAAACUACCUUGCUCGAGGGUUGGAGGGGGGACUGGAAUGCUUGGUGUAGCAGUGAAAUGCGUAGAUAUCAAGCGGAACACCAGUGGCGAAGGCGAGUCCCUGGACAACUCCUGACACUGAGGCACGAAAGCGUGGGGAGCGAACAGG